CGGCGAGCGGCGGACGGGUGAGGAACACAUCGGAAUCUACCCUGUCGUGGGGGACAACGUAGGGAAACUUACGCUAAUACCGCAUACGACCUUUGGGUGAAAGCGGGGGACCCGCAAGGGCCCCGCGCGAUUGGAUGAGCCGAUGUCCGAUUAGCUAGUUGGCGGGGUAAUGGCCCACCAAGGCGACGAUCGGUAGCUGGUCUGAGAGGACGACCAGCCACACUGGAACUGAGACACGGUCCAG
rnacentral:rRNA from 1 species